GACGAACGCUGGCGGCGUGCUUAACACAUGCAAGUCGAACGAAGAGCGAUGGAAGCUUGCUUCUAUCAAUCUUAGUGGCGAACGGGUGAGUAACGCGUAAUCAACCUGCCCUUCAGAGGGGGACAACAGUUGGAAACGACUGCUAAUACCGCAUACGAUCUAACCUCGGCAUCGAGGAUAGAUGAAAGGUGGCCUCUACAUGUAAGCUAUCACUGAAGGAGGGGAUUGCGGCUGAUUAGCUAGUUGGAGGGGUAACGGCCCACCAAGGGGAUGGUCAGGAGCCGGUCUGAGAGGAUGAACGGCCACAUUGGGACUGAGACACGGCCCAGACUCCUACGGGAGGCAGCAGUGGGGAAUCUUCCGCAAUGGACGAAAGUCUGACGGAGCAACGCCGCGUGAGUGAUGACGGCCUUCGGGUUGUAAAGCUCUGUUAAUCGGGACGAAAGGCCUUCUUGCGAAUAGUGAGAAGGAUUGACGGUACCGGAAUAGAAAGCCACGGCUAACUACGUG
rnacentral:rRNA from 1 species